rnacentral:lncRNA from 1 species
AAUGUGUCAUUCCCUUAGUAUGUGUCAAGCGCUGUGCCCAUGAUCUCAUUGAAGCUCACAGUAACCCUGUGAAGGAGUUCCAGUGAUUAACAACUUGUGCCUGAAAAGAAGGAAGAGGCUUAAAGAGACUGAAUUGUUUGUCUCUGGUCCCAAAGCCAGGACAUAAAGGAAUUGGAUUCCAAACUCAGGGUGACUGACUUCUGACCCCAAGACCUCACUAAGUACCAUGCAGGCUGUCCUGCCAUAUUAUGUAUAUUUUCUAAGUAUGGCAGAAGAGGCUAAGGAAGUGAAAAUUUCAGUGAUGGUAAUGAAAACACUAAAACAAAGGGCAUAGAAAAGACAAAUACGUUAAGGCAUCACGCUGUCUGUGCAGUGCUGCCGCAUGAUCUGGCACACUGUAAGAACCCACGACGACUGGAGGGAGGGAUGAAGAGAAGGGAAGGGAAGGAUGAACGGGGACGGAAGAAAUGGAAGCUGUGACCUCACGGGGAGAAGCAGGCAGUAAGAGGUGGGUGUUUUCUUCCGCAUUAAUUUUCUCAGAUAU